GAUGAACGCUGGCGGCGUGCCUAAUACAUGCAAGUCGAGCGAACAGACGAGAGUGCUUGCACUCUCUGACGUUAGCGGCGGACGUGUGAGUAACACGUGGGUAACCUACCUAUAAGACUGGGAUAACUUCGGGAAACCGGAUCUAAUACCGGAUAAUAUUUAGCUUCGCAUGAAGCAAUAGUGAAAGACGGUUCUGCUGUCACUUAUAGAUGGACCCGCGGUGUAUUAGCUAGUUGGUGAGGUAACGGCUCACCAAGGCAACGAUACAUAGCCGACCUGAGAGGGUGAUCGGCCACACUGGGACUGAGACACGGCCCAGACUCCUACGGGAGGCAGCAGUAGGGAAUCUUCCGCAAUGGACGAAAGUCUGACGGAGCAAUGCCGCGUGAGUGAAGAAGGUUUUCGGAUCGUAAAACUCUGUUGUAAGGGAAGAACAAGUACGUUAGUAACUGAACGUACCUUGACGGUACCUUACCAGAAAGCCACGGCUAACUACGUG
rnacentral:rRNA from 1 species